rnacentral:rRNA from 1 species
GAUGAACGCUGGCGGCGUGCCUAAUACAUGCAAGUCGAGCGAACAGACGAGGAGCUUGCUCCUCUGACGUUAGCGGCGGACGGGUGAGUAACACGUGGAUAACCUACCUAUAAGACUGGGAUAACUUCGGGAAACCGGAGCUAAUACCGGAUAAUAUAUUGAACCGCAUGGUUCAAUAGUGAAAGACGGUUUUGCUGUCACUUAUAGAUGGAUCCGCGCCGCAUUAGCUAGUUGGUAAGGUAACGGCUUACCAAGGCAACGAUGCGUAGCCGACCUGAGAGGGUGAUCGGCCACACUGGAACUGAGACACGGUCCAGACUCCUACGGGAGGCAGCAGUAGGGAAUCUUCCGCAAUGGGCGAAAGCCUGACGGAGCAACGCCGCGUGAGUGAUGAAGGCCUUCGGAUCGUAAAACUCUGUUAUUAGGGAAGAACAAAUGUGUAAGUAACUAUGCACGUCUUGACGGUACCUAAUCAGAAAGCCACGGCUAACUACGU